rnacentral:tRNA from 1 species
CAAUAUGUAGCUUAAAUAAAGCAUCUCGCUUACACCGAGAAAAUAUCUGUGAAACCCAGAUCAUCUUGA